ACAAUGUGAUGAUGAUGUGUAAAAAUUCGAUUAAGUACAUGUAUUUUAUUUCUUAUACUCUGACUUAUUAAGUCAGAAUAGUGCAACUCAAAAGUCAGUUUUAUCAUCUGAAAAUGAAAGGUAAUGACAAGAUCUUCCAGAUAGUUGCGUAAACCUCAAUAUGGCAUUAGCAGACCUACGAGACAAUGAACAAGUUCGCUUCAAAAAAGAUAGAAGAGAUUCUUUUAUUCAAAUAUAACGGGCCAGUAUCAAGAGAAGAACACUGCUGGAAACACAAACCAACGGAGCUGUGCCAUAAUAAAAACAAAAGGAAUAGAUAGCAUAACCAUAAUAAUCACAGUCAAAAGUUAAGAAAAUGGAAUAAUACUGAAUAAUUUGUAUUACGUUCCAGAUAUUCGGAAAAUAUAAUCUAGAUAUUCCAGACACUAUGCAAGAAAUUCAAGGGAAGACAGAUCAGCCAGAAUGCAUCAUGAUCAGUUACAAGAAAUGCGCAAAAGGCUACAGAUUAUGGUGUCCCGAGAUGUAAUAAUGACCAAACAUGAAAUACCUUUUUAUGGUUUCGAGUAUUGCCAGUCACCAGAAUCAAUUCGACACCUAAUUUUAACACGAUUAGGCAACGCAUUUGGGAUUUGACCCAGGGAGGGGCCUUUGUAAGGCAUUUUGCACUUCGAUGACACCUCAAUCCGCAUCUAAAACAACAAGUCCUCCCAGUGUCCCUGUGUUGUGUUCCAGCGUCCCAGUUGUUUCAUUUUCCUCUUAAUUGUACGUUUGUAUUUCCUUUUUCCCAUCUGUUUAUAUUUUUGUUCCCAUUACCUUUUAUUCCUUCGUACAGCAUAAAUGUUGUUUUCAAUUCUCAUAUUCGCCACACCAUAUAAUAUGGUCUUAUUUAUCUCAUCGUCUUUAAUAUCGCCAAUGAUGUACUUAAUCGUUGCAGAAACUUCAACAUCCAUUUGUUUCGCAAUUUCAAGCAUUUGAUAAAUGUAUUUGAUGUAGCAUUCAUCGGGUCUUCUAAUCCUUGUGAAUAAUUGUGUAUGUACCUUAUGUGAUUAUGCAAAUCCACAACUGGAAAGAAUUCGAAUUUGAAUGCCUUCAUAAUUUCGACCGACUUUUAUGUUUCUCACUUUCCACAAAUAAUUUUACCAAUUCUCUCAACAGCCUCUUUACGUAUACUAUCUACUCAACGUUAUCCCACUUACACAUUGUGAACAUUUUCUCAAACUUCUGCAACCGAUAACUUACGUAUCGACUGUAUCGUCACUACAAAAUAUGCUUACUGACUCUUCAACAUCUCGAAAUGAACCCGACGACGAAAAUCUUCAGUAGUAGUAUCCGAAUCAGCAUCCAGCACGUCAAAUUCAUCCAAGUCCUGACCACGUUCGAUCUCAAACCUGAUCGCUGCCUUUAAUCGUGGUCGCAAUUCGCGUCAAGUAGUCCAUUCGCGUUAAUAACAGUUUUGACACCGCACUUAGACAUCUUGGGUAGCUUCUAUUGUCACUGUAACUCACAAUCACGUUGCAUCCUCAUUCCGAACGAACCAGAGGGGUUAUGAACUGCACUCCCUCAAUUGUGUGUGGUAACGUCUAUUUUUUGACGCGAAGAUCCGCGGUACAAUAAUCGUCGAGGGAAAUAGAAGGUAUGCAGUGGCAGAAGCUCGACAAAGUCCAAUGCCCAGGCCGCUGGUUCUUACUGAUCGACUGUUGUCAGACCAGCAAUUACAGCUUGAAAGAUCGAAGUCAUACUGACUGAUCCUUCAGUCUUUAGAGCUUUGUAACUCGCAGAUUUCAUCUCUCGUAUGCCUGCUCUGACUGCCUGUAACUGACUAUCCGUUUUCAACCUUCAGUAUUCUCCUUCCUCACAUAUACUACACAUUCAUACUGUGCGUCACCAACCAACAUCUGAAAACUCCGCGUGGAUUCUAGGAACUCAUUCGUCCUUUUCGCGCCAACGAUAAUCUAUAAUAAACAUCCGCUCCCCUGCUAUACCGAUUCGAAGAUUCGUCAAUCGCGCCGACAAUCGCUCCAUCACUCGCACAAAAUAUUUUCGAUACUACAAAAUUGUAAAAAUAACUGGUCAUUUUCAUAACAUUAUUUUGAUAACAUAAAAUUAAUGGUUAAAACAAUAUAUUACUUUUUAAAUUGCAAUUUGAUGUGUAGGAUUGGAAUGAGUAGGGCCUUG
rnacentral:lncRNA from 1 species